GAUGAAGAACGUAGCAAAAUGCGAUAAGUAAUGUGAAUUGCAGAAUUCCGUGAAUCAUCGAAUCUUUGAACGCACAUUGCGCCCCCUGGUAUUCCGGGGGGCAUGCCUGUCCGAGCGUCAUUGCAACCCUCAAGCGCGGCUUGUGUGUUGGGCUUCGUCCCCCCGUGGACGUGCCCGAAAGGCAGUGGCGGCGUCCCGAAUGGUGCCCGAGCGUAUGGGAACUCUCUUCCGCUCGAACCGGCCCAUUCGGCGCUGGUCGAACCCCAAUUUUUUUUUACCGGUUGACCUCGGAUCAGGUAGGGAUACCCGCUGAACUUAAGCAUAUCAAUAAGCGGAGGA
rnacentral:misc_RNA from 1 species